GUCCACGCCGUAAACGGUGGGCACUAGGUGUGGGCCUUUAUCAACGAGGUCCGUGCCGUCGCUAACGCAUUAAGUGCCCCGCCUGGGGAGUACGGCCGCAAGGCUAAAACUCAAAGGAAUUGACGGGGGCCCGCACAAGCAGCGGAGCAUGUUGCUUAAUUCGAGGCAACGCGAAGAACCUUACCUGGGUUUGACAUGCUGGGAAAAGCCGUAGAGAUACGGUGUCCUUCGGGGCCCAGCACAGGUGGUGCAUGGCUGUCGU
rnacentral:rRNA from 1 species